AUGAGUUAAGUAUAAACCCCUUAACAAGUAUCAAUUGGAGGGCAAGUCUGGUGCCAGCAGCCGCGGUAAUUCCAGCUCCAAUAGCGUAUAUUAAAGUUGUUGCAGUUAAAAAGCUCGUAGUUGGAUUUCUGUUAAUAGUUGCAUGUGCUAUCUUCGAUACGCGUGCGAUGUUAGCAUCAUUCGCAUUACCUUCGGUAUGCGGAACUUUACUUUGAGAAAAUUAGAGUGCUUAAAGCAGGCUUUUGCCUUGAAUACUCCAGCAUGGAAUAAUAUGAAGGAUUUUUAUCUUUCUUAUUGGUUCUAAGAUAAAAAUAAUGGUUAAUAGGGACAGUUGGGGGCAUUUGUAUUUAACAGUCAGAGGUGAAAUUCUUAGAUUUGUUAAAGACAAACUAGUGCGAAAGCAUUUGCCAAGGAUGUUCUCAUUAAUCAAGAACGAAAGUUAGGGGAUCGAAGACGAUCAGAUACCGUCGUAGU
rnacentral:rRNA from 1 species